CAGUGUUGUUUCCUAUAGGAAUUCCUGUCUUGUUCUUGCCUUUGUGGCGGUAUAUCGUGCUCUAUAGUAGUAGAGGAAUGUAGAUUCAAGGGUAACUUGAUUUGUAAACCUUCUUUAGAAUUGGUUUAAGCCUUUGAGACAAAUUCUUGCCUCGAAGAUAAGGAGUUUGAAGACCAGAGUUUAGGCUUCAAGGGACGUGUAGAGAUAUUGGAAUUUAUAAGCAAUGUUUUGGACGAAGGAGUUUUCAAGGAAAAAGUUCGGAGAUCAGAUAUCGUACGAUUCAUAAGAAGAGUUGAGUUCAAAGACCAGAAUAAGAGGAGCCUUGGAUGGGCAUUGGUGUGGCAAUGUUUGGUUCUAUGUAUCAGUAACGUCAGAGGUCAGAAGAAAAGGAAGUGUUGGUGAGCAACAGAGUGGCUUUGGGUGAGAUGGGUAACAUGGAUCGGUGUAUCAACGAUGGUUGAAAUCUGAAUAAGAGAAAUGAUGGAUGGUUUGAAGCUUAAGUUAAGAGAGGAAUAAGAAUUUUGAAGUGGAUAUUGUAUAGCCAAGUUUAGAAGGAUGUUUCAAGAUUAGCGAGUUGCAUAGAAGGAAUGUUUGAUCUCGGGUUGAGGUGAAAGACUUCAAUCACCGAAGGAAGGGCACAUCGGAAAGGUUUGGUUAUUGGCUAAGAGGAAAGAUUUCCAGUAUUGAAGGAAGGGGCAUAUCAGGAUGUCAGUUUCGUAAGAAAAUGUGAGGAAUAGAGAAUUAAGAGCACGGUGGAUGAGGAACAAAGAAGAAAGGCCUUAGAACAAAUGACAAAGGAUGGUUACAGUAUGAGUUGUUGGAGAGGGUAGCGGGGAAUGAUCAGAUAAUCCAGGUUGAUUGAGACUAUCAGAGUUUCGAAGCGGCAUGUUGUGUUACAAUCAGUUUUUCUUCGGGUGUGAUUUUGUGGUGAUGUUUAGGGAUCGGCUGAGUUUGAUCGAGAGAGAAAUGGAUAUUGGAAGUUGAGUUACAAAAGGCAGUAAGCGGGUAAGUUCAGAUAAGGUCAGAGGAUUUGUGUUGCUGGUUAAGGGUAUCUUGAGGUUCAGGGGAUCAAAGAUAGAGUUUGUAUUUCUAAAGAUUCUGAGUUGAAGAGGGCAAUUCUUGAAGAAGAAGAUUUUGAGUUAAUUUGGCCGAAUGAGUGCAUCAAGUACAGUUGAGCGAAGGAUAGAAGCAAGUGUUAUGGGAAUUCAAGAUGUCUGAUGGACGCAAGUGAAGAAGAUAUGAUGUUGUCUUUCUUAAGUCUGAGGUGUGAUUACAAGAGAUGUUUGACUGUUUUAAAUCGUUUCGGAUAGUUAUGGCCUUCAAAAGAAGUAUUGUGUUUUGAGAAGGGGAAGCAUGGUAUUGCAUUAGAAGUGGGUCAAGCUAUAAAGGAGAAGACAAAGGGUUGUAGGAGUCAGAAUAUGUUAGCAAGGAUAUGUGGAGAAGAGAAGAUAAAUCUUUAUGGUGUAAUAGUUUUGGUUGGUGUUCUGCAACAAGUAUGAGAUUUUUAUAACUUGGAGAAGUGGUGUUCACUAUGGAAUGAAUCUAUUUAGGGGUGGUUUCUUUUGCAGUUGUGUAAUGCAAGAGGAAGAUGGAAAUUGAGUUAGAGCAAUGGUAUUUGGACUCAGUGUAGUCAUAGGGAGAACUAUAAGGUUUAAGAAUCUUAGAAGAGAAUUAGAGGACAGGUUGGAACAGUCUAGUAUAAGUCUUGGCAAUCAGAAGUGAUUUCGAGCAUGGUGGUUUUGUGGAGUAGAAAAGCAGUGUUGAGGAAAAUGGAAUGACAAGGUUAUCAUGGAAGAAAAGAGUUAUCAGGGUUUUGCAAAGUCAUGGAAGUUUUGAAGAAGAUUCUUCAAGGGUGAUUAUCUUCGGGUUGCAAAUUGUCAUGAAGGAAGUGUUCUUUCAGUAAACUAGUGAACAAGGGAGUUUGAGGAUCAGAGUAGCACAACGGGUGUUAGUGGGCUUGUUCUUAUCAGUACCAAGUGUAUAUGAAGCGAUUUCAAGUUCAGGUAUGGGUGGUUAUGUGAGAUGAGCUUCUUUAAAACAACCGGGACGUCGUUAUUUGGGGCAUCAGUUGGGAGUGUUUGGUGGUCUUCGAGAGUCAGAAGUAAGUUUAGGUAUGGUGGAGAUAAGUAUGAAGCAAAGAAGACAAGUGAGACUUCAGUUUCAAGAUGUAGUGUCGACCAGGAAGUGGGAGUAUAAAUGGACGUUGAGCAUGGGAAGUGGGUCAGUGGAUGAAGGAAAUGAACCGGGAUAAGUUUCAAGUUGUAAGGUCAAUUUUGAGGUAAGCAAGCGUUAGUUGUGCGUGGGAACUGAAAGACGAUUCAAGUUGUUCGCUUAGUAAUAAUUGAUUAAGAGUCGGUUGAAGAGUUUGAAGACUAGAGUCUGAAGUGAAGAGGUAAAGAGAUUUUACCAAUAUAGUUGAAAUACUAUAACUAGUGGGUUUCUCAAAAUGGUUUAGACAACGCAGUUUGGACAGUCCUAGCUUGAAAGGUAUCAUAAGUUGGCAUGGUACGAAUUAGGCUAGUGAUCUUAAGUUGAGGAAGAUACAUGACUAAGUAUGAUUACAAGCUAGUAGAUUAAGAAUUACAUAUGGUUCAGGUCAGUUAGAUAACGAAGUGAAGAUAGAGUACUCAAAUUGGUUUUGUUGCUGUAGUGGAGUAAAGAUUUAUUUUGGUAAUAGGGUAGUAUCGUUGGAAACCAUGCUACUUAAGAGUGGAAAUCUAUAAAGUAAUGUAAAGUCUUUGGAAUGGAUGUGGUUACAGGUGAUCAAGAGCAUAACAGUUAGUAGUUAAAACAGAAGUGGUGGCGAUCAAGUCAGGGGUGUGAUGGUUCUUAGAAGAAACAAGAGGAGGUAAAAGGGUAUCAGUCAAGGGUUGAUCUAAAGUCAAGACUAGUGAAAGUUCUAGAAGAGAUUUACAAGGAGGAGCGGAAGAUAGAUGAGGGGUUAGCGAUGUUGCAGACAUAAUAGGAUUGGUUAUGUGAAAGCAAGAUUCUUAAAAGUUGAGGUGUAGGAGUUCAAAGUUGUUUUGCGAAUCAUGGCUAAACAGAUCUACACUGUUUAACACUAGAGCAUUUUAGCGUAGAGGCAAGAUUUUUCAUGUUAGUAAAGUUGUUGGGGAGUUGUAUCUUUGUCAAAUAGGUAGUUGUAAUAAAGAAGGCGAUGAUAGUGGAGUGUUCCUUCUAUCUUAUAAGUGAAUUUUCGAGGACGAAAAUUUUUGUUGUUGGGAAGAAUAUAAGAACCCAAAAAUUUCCAUCUCUCUCUAAAGCUUUGUUUCUCAAACUUUCUCCACCAUCUCUCUAGAUUUGUCCUCCAUUGAUCCAUCUAUUCCACCAUCAGAGACCGCGUAGGUAAUCUCGAAGUUGUGGGCUUCAAAUCCGACCGGUCAAUUUCUUAUUCUGUCGCCGAUAAGUAGUCCUCCCUUUUCCAUGCAUCUCAAGGAUGUACUGCAUGCACAUGAU
rnacentral:lncRNA from 1 species